rnacentral:rRNA from 1 species
GACGUAGGGGACGAGCGUUGUCCGGAAUUAUUGGGCGUAAAGAGCUCGUAGGCGGCUUGUUGCGUCGGAUGUGAAAGCCCGGGGCUUAACUCCGGGUCGGCAUUCGAUACGGGCAGGCUAGAGUUCGGUAGGGGAGAUCGGAAUUCCUGGUGUAGCGGUGAAAUGCGCAGAUAUCAGGAGGAACACCGGUGGCGAAGGCGGGGUCUCUGGGCCGAUACUGACGCUGAGGAGCGAAAGCGUGGGGAGCGAACAGG